GCUAAAAACCUAGCCCAACAAACCUGAAUUUAACCAGAUUAAUUACACCGCUUAAUUAAAUCAUUUUUUCCUCUUUAGUAAAGGAGAUUGAAAAACUAAUUGGAGCUAUAGCAAUAGUACCGCAAGGGAACAGUGAAAUAUUUAAUGAAACCUUUAAGCAAUAAAAAGUAAUGAUUAUCACAUGUACCUUUUGCAUCAUGGUUUAACUAGUCUAAUCAAGCAAAACGCAUUUUAGUUUGACUUCCCGAAACUAAGUGAGCUACUUCGAGGCAGCUGAAAGAGCCAACCCGUCUCUGUUGCAAAAGAGUGGGAUGACCUCCAAGUAGCGGUGACAGACCUAACGAACUUAGUGAUAGCUGGUUACUCAAGAAAAGGAUCUAAGUCCAACCUAAAAUUCUAUACCACAGUGAAUAAAAACAACAACCUGAAUUUUAACGUAAUUCAAAUAAGGUACAGCCUAUUUGAAACAGGAGACAACCUAAGCCAAUGGAUAAAAUUAGCUGAUUAUUCAACCAAGUGGGCCCAAAAGCAGCCAUCUUUUAAAUUGCGUCAAAGCUUAAUUGUUUACACGCCUAAUUCCUUUAUCUUCAUAUAAUCCUUCAUUAGUACUGAGUAAUUCUAUAUCAUUAUAGAAAAUUUUAUGUUAAAACUAGUAACAAGAAGAAGACCCUUCUCUAAAAUGUAAGUGUAAAUCAGAAAGGACAAACCACUGAUAUUUAACAUAUAUUGGACUUAAGGUAAUAACUUAUCAAGAAAAUUUUACCUACACUUUUGUUAACCUAACACAAGAACAUUUCAAGAAAGAUUAAAAGAAAAAGAAGGAACUCGGCAAAUAAUAACCUCGCCUGUUUACCAAAAACAUCGCCUCUUGUAUAACAUAAGAGGUCCAGCCUGCCCAGUGACAUUGUUCAACGGCCGCGGUAUCCUAACCGUGCGAAGGUAGCGUAAUCACUUGUUCUUUAAUUGUGGACUAGUAUGAAUGGCACCACGAGGGUUAUACUGUCUCCUUUUUCUAAUCAGUGAAACUAAUCUCCCCGUGAAGAAGCGAGGAUAAAAAUAUAAGACGAGAAGACCCUAUGGAGCUUUAAACAUCAUAGCAAUUACCAAUAAUUUUAGAAAUUUCCGAAUCAUUUAAUCCUUAAGGUAAUAUGACUAUAAGUUUUUGGUUGGGGUGACCGCGGAGCAUAAUGAAACCUCCAUGUUGAAUGAUAAAUUUCUUAGCUAAGAUCAACAUAUCUAAGCAUCAGCAAACUGACAUUCAUUGACCCAAUAUUAUUGAGCAACGAACCAAGUUACCCUAGGGAUAACAGCGCAAUCCACUUCAAGAGCUCCUAUCGACAAGUGGGUUUACGACCUCGAUGUUGGAUCAAGGUAUCCCAGUGGUGCAGCCGCUACUAAACGUGC
rnacentral:rRNA from 1 species